GACCUCCACUGGACCUGUGCAAGGAGAGUUCGUGGAUGACUUGAUUAAAGAGUUACAGCUGGCACACCAGCCAGUUCAUUCAUUCAGAGGAGGAAAGAGCCACAGAAAUCACUCACUCACCAACUCAAGAGGACUGGAGAGAUUCCAACAGGAACUACAACAGCAGGAUUGGAAAGGGGUGUGGCUCACCACCAGUACCCUCCAUUGCGGGAAGACAAUACAAUUAUCAGGGCACGAGACACUCCUUGCAUUCUGUUGAAGGUGAUUUGUAGUUGUUUUCACAGCUUUCACUCUAUCAUUAAAAUGUCUUUUAUUUUUUAAAUACUAUAUUUCAAAAACCAAUAAAACACCAG
rnacentral:lncRNA from 1 species